GAAAAUGACUACAAUGGGCCACUAUACCAGGCACGUUAUCCCUAAGUCUUCAGCCUAAGAUAACAUUAUACAAAUUGCAUACCUAAGCAUAAGAGCCUGAAAGUCAUCAGGCUAAGAAGGAUUCCUGGAAUUAAAAUACAGGAGCUGGAUAUUCAACAUGAGCAGAAGGACAGACCAAACAUGGUUGGGACACAGAAGAGAAGAUUACUGUACAGAACAUCUAAUACAAUUUUCUACUUUUUCACUGCCAAACAUAAGAGCAAGAUGGACAGAAGAACACACAGGAAAGCAGCAACAAUGAAAUAAAGGGCAGGAAAAUGAAUACAGAGUUCUGAACACCAAUUCAUUGAUAUCAGAAAGGAGAGAGAAAAAAAAAAAAAAGCAAACACUAAAAUAACUCUUUUGAAAUGUGUGCUAUUGGAAGGACAAUGAAGCAUCCAUGCAGUCUUUGUUUUAUGACCAGAACUUUUAAGUGCCUUCUAAGCUCUGGACCAAACACUGAAAGCAUCAAACUAGUUUUUUCCCAAGCUAAAUACUUAAUAUUUUUAGCAUACUUCCAUACCAUUAUUUGUGAAUUUGUUCUUAAAGAUAUGAUCACAGUGAGUCCUCAAUGGAUAACAGGAUUUCAUGCCAUUUACUCAGUUCUGGCCACAGCUUCUCUUCAGCAGAAGUU
rnacentral:lncRNA from 7 species